AGCGAACGCUGGCGGCAGGCUUAACACAUGCAAGUCGAGCGGGCACUUCGGUGUCAGCGGCAGACGGGUGAGUAACACGUGGGAACGUACCCUUUGGUUCGGAAUAACGCUGGGAAACUAGCGCUAAUACCGGAUACGCCCUUUUGGGGAAAGGCUUGCUGCCGAAGGAUCGGCCCGCGUCUGAUUAGCUAGUUGGUGGGGUAAUGGCCUACCAAGGCGACGAUCAGUAGCUGGUCUGAGAGGAUGAUCAGCCACACUGGGACUGAGACACGGCCCAGACUCCUACGGGAGGCAGCAGUGGGGAAUAUUGGACAAUGGGCGCAAGCCUGAUCCAGCCAUGCCGCGUGAGUGAUGAAGGCCUUAGGGUUGUAAAGCUCUUUUGUCCGGGACGAUAAUGACGGUACCGGAAGAAUAAGCCCCGGCUAACUUCGUU
rnacentral:rRNA from 1 species